AUGUCCUCCUCCGACGACGAGCUCCUUCUUGUCCAGGAGCUCCCCAUGGACAUGCACUCGGACGGUGGCGCUCCUCAGCGCCGCCUGGCCCACGUCCUCCUCCCUAUCGACCGUGCCCCUGGCCCGCCCCCUUUCCGCCCGCCUCCCCCUCCCUCCGCCGCCACCGCCGCCGAGUUCCGCGUCGCCUUCAGGGGCUGGCUCGGCGCCCCGCGCCACUGGGAGCUCUGGGUCGCCAAGCUACGCCCGAUCCACGAGCGCCUCUGGCGGGAACUUGGGAUCUUUGACGCCGUCCUCGCCUCCACCUACAGGAUCAAGAGGGACGCCUCCGCCGUGCUCCACCUCGCCUCCUUCUGGUCCCCCUCCACCAGCACCUUCGUCUUCCCCUGGGGCGAGGCCACCAUCACGCUCGAGGACGUCGCCGUGCUUGGGGGCUUCCCCGCCGACGGCUCCCCCGUGCCCGCGCCGCUGCCGCACCAGUGGCGCCCGGACGAGGCGGCGCUCAACGGGGUGCGCCUCGACUUCAACCGGAGCGCCUGCAAGAAGGCGCACCAUGCCGCCUGGAUGAAGCACUUCCUCACGGACACGGACAUGGACGCCGUCAUCGAGCACGCCGCCUUCCUUGCGCUCUGGCUCACGCGCUUCGUGCUCCCAGGCCACCCGGAGUCCACCAUGCGCCAGUCCCUCUUCCCGCUUGCUGUCCGCAUGGCGCGCGGUGACCACGUCGCCAUUGGGCCAGCCGUGCUCGCGUCCCUGUACCGGGACCUGCGUGAGAUGAAGACUUACUUGGUGGCCGCAGGCGCAACAGGCGGCAAUGCAGAGUUGCUGUCUCCCUUGUCAGUACAUGCGCCCCUCUACAUCCUUCAGUUAUGGAUGUGGGAGCGGUUCCCUGUACUCUGGGAUGGAAAGCCCAACCUCAUCAAGGAUGGCGAACCAAGGGCUGCUAGCUGGCAUGAUGUGAGCAAGAAGAUGAAUCCAAUGAUGAUCCGCGAGGUCCUCAAUUCGGGGAGGAACUUUUUAUGGCGGCCCUAUACCAGUUCGGAGCAAGCAUGCAAGGAUCAUAGCGGGUGGGUUCGUGGCAGUGAUAUAAACGAAGAUGAGGAAUUGAUUUCACUCGCGCAUUGCCUGCAUGCUUGUGAGCUAGUGGGGAUGGAUUGCAUUGAGCAGUACCUCCCACACCGCGUUGCAAUGCAGUUUGGACUAGACCAAGAUGUGCCUGGGGAUGUUCGCCGAGCAAAUGAGGAUUGGGGGGUUGCAUGGGAGACCUACGAUUUGGAGGGGAAGAACGUAGCCAUCUUUACCCCUUGCUCUGAACCAGGAGUCACGGCUCGGUAUGCAGAGUGGUGGACGCAGCCAUUGCCACCUGACCUUGAUGUUGGGGCAGGAAGCAUUUCUGUGGAAGGGAAGCUUUCCAAGCGUAAGGUGAAGAAGACACGGGCAGCCAUGGAAGCCGAGGCAGAAAGGGAGCGGAAAAUGAAGAAGGCUCGAGUCUCCCCUAAUAAUGAUAAAAAGCGAAAACUUGAGGAGUUGUAUGAUGCGAAGCUGUCGGAUUGGCUUGCAGCCGGAAGGAAUGGGAGCAGUGGAACGAGUGGUGGCAGCUGCAAAAGGGGAUCCUCGCCAAAAUCUGUUGCUGGAUCAGACAAGUCCCUGUCAGCUAGUGCUGGGACUAGAGAUGAUAUUGUACUUCUUGUGCCAAGGAAGCAGGUGCCAACUCCUACUGUAAACCUGAGGAAGGAUAGGGAUAUGAAUCUGGGUAGGGGAGAUGAUGGAAACUUCAUGGCUAAGUCUCUGGUAGGGACAAAGUACAAAGGUGUGUAUUUGAAGGGCUCUAUGGCAGGUGAUGUAGAUCAUUUAGUGAAUGAGCCAUAUUUUGACGAGACAGUGGUGUCAACUGAAAUCUCUACAUUCAAUGAAGAUGCCAAGGAUGAAUGGAGUGACCAGAUUUUGAAAAAUACCAGUGAGCUGAUCAGAGAGGAACCUCCUGCUGUCCCUAAUAUGCCUGAGGAGGUUAAACCUGCAGUAUCUAUGGAGAGAGAAGAAUACAGUGAUCUCUUGACUGAUGUUGAUUUCAGCGAGGAUGUCAUAGAGGAAGCUAUCACAGUUGAUAAGCCCACAAAUUUCUCCAGUGCACCUGAAGGAGGCGAUGCUGUGAUGAUGGAGGAAAAAAUAGUUAAUCUUCUUGAAGAUAAGUGUCUUGAUGCUACAGGUAGACCAGAAGAAGGCACCAUUGUUACUCAGGAGUUGGAGAAGAAAGCCAAACUUGCAGUUGACGAGUCUCGUGGUAUGUCAAAUAAACCCGAAGAAGUCGUUGCUCUUGUCACGAAAGACAUAGAAGAAAAGGGUAAUGUAGCGGUGGCUAUUGAAGGUACCGUAGUUUCAGAAGGAGUUGAAAGGGUUGGGGAGGGAACAAGUCAUUCUAUUGGAGUCUUGUCAGGGAGCAAACAAGGAGCCUAUGCAGGUGUUACGAACAAUCCUCAGGAGACAGUGGCUUUGCCUGAGGAAAUUCUUCUAGUUCAGCAGGCAAAUGAUGUUGGUGAAUGUGUUGAAAUGUCAUGCAUAAUGGAGGAUACUUGUGCUGCUGCUGGAGUGACAACAAAUGAUGAAGAAACCGCUUUAGGUUUUGUCGCCGAUGAGGAGAGGGAGAUUUCCUGUAAAGAAGAGACUGGAGGAGAAAGCGAUCAGAUGGCUAUGAAAGAUAGCGAGCAGAAGCCUCAGGAAGCUCCUCCAGUUGACAUUGUAGAAUGUGGAGAAGACAUUUCUCUUAUGGAAAAAGACAAUGAGGGUGAACACGAAAAUGUUCCUCAAACAGUGGAGGCAGUGGUCACUGACAUUAAUAUGGCUGCAGUUCUUUUAGGUGUUCCUGAAGAAGGGAGUGCAGACGUGGAUAAAGCUCUGAAUCUAACACAGAAAGACGCUGAAGAUGUGCACAAGAAAGUUGCAGAAGUAGAGGAUGCAGAACAUGUACAAAUUAAUACUAUGGCAAAUGGAGGUUCAAAUGAAGGGCACAACGAAGUUGCUGAAGUAGAGGAUGUAGACAUUGCAGAGGCAGAGAUGCGUGCACAGUUUGAUACUGAGAAACCUGAGGAAGCUACAGAAGCAGGGCAUGCAGAUAUGGAUGAUGGUAAGAGAUUAACAGGGAGAGAUACUGUUGAGGAGCCUGGAGAUGUUCUUGAAGGUGCACAUGCAGAAGCGGAAAAGGCUAGGGAGCUCAUAGAGAACAAUGAUGAUGAUAAGCUAGCAGAGUUUCCUGGUAUAACACAUGCAGAAAUGGAAGAGGUAAAGAAUUUGAUGAAGGAAGAUGCAGAUGAGAAGUUUGAUAUACAAAGUGCAAAAAUGAAAGGAGCUCAUAAGCCAAUGGAGGAAGAUACUGAUGGUAAGCUUCAGGAAGUUUUUGACGUAGAGCAUGCAGAAACCAAACAUACGAAGGUUUUGAUUAAGGGAGUUGCAGACAAGAAGUUUGAAGAAAAUUCUGAAUUGAGAAGUAUAGGGAUUGAUGGCACUCAUGGGCCAAUGGAGGAAAGCACUGAUGGUAAGGUCAAGGCAGUACCCGAAGUGAAUGCGGAAGUAGAACAAGCCAAUGGGACCAUGAGGGGCAAUGAUAGGCCCGACAGCAUCCUGCAAAUAGACCUUCCAGCAAGGGACGAAGCCGGGUGCUUGGCCAAGAAAGAUAUUGAAGAAGAUUAUGCGGAAGUUCCACAAGGAAAGCGCGCGAACAUAAACAAUGAGGCACCAAUUGAGAAAGAUGCAAAGCAGGCCAAGAAAGAUAUUGAAGAAGAUAAUGGGGAAGUUCCACAAGGAAAGCACGCGAACAUAAACGAUGAGGCACCAAUUGAGAAAGAUGCCAAGCAAAAGCCCAAUGCAGGUGGCUUGGAUUUACCAGAGAAAGAAGUCGAUGGGUCCAAAGAGGUUUACCAAGUGAAACGAGAAGAAGGGGUGGGACGCAAGGUGUUAAGGGUGAAAGAUACCGAGGAGAAUACUAAGGAUGCUCUUGGGGUUAAACAGGCAGAAGAACGACAAGGGGAAGCACUGACAGCAGGAUAUAUGUACAACUACAUUGAAGAAAUAGUGGAGCAGGUGGAUGGACAAAGCAAAACACUCACAAGGAUAGGUGUUGAGGAAAAUCCCAAAGAAAUCACUCAGGAACAGGAGAAAGAAUUUGACAACGAUACAGUGGAAUCUUUAAAGAAUUCAAUCAAUAGUUUGUUAUGUAGCCCAGCCAUCAUACAGUCAAAAGAAGGGCAGAAGGAAGUUCCUGUUGAAGGCAUGACGGAGAAGCACUGCCUUCAGGAUGUUGGGUUGAUAAAUGAGAGGGAAUCAUUGUCUGUUGGAGCUGCUAUGGAGAUUCAAGGAGUAGAUGACCACAGAACUUUGGACAUGCAUGAGGAAGUGUCUAUUAAACAGAUAGAUGAGUGUGGAAUAAUAUUCACAAAUAAGGAGACACAAAUAUUGGAAGACAGCCAUAUGGUAGGAGAUGGAUCUAACGAUUUGGUUCUUAUGGAGGUUGAUGAAACUUGGUCUACAAUCGAAAUUCAGAACCAGGAGGCUUUGGACUUGGACAAGCAACAAACAACUGAGGAAAGACAAGAUUUAGGACCUACAAUCGAGAACAAGAAAAUGGCAAUGUUAGGAGAUGUCAUUACGCUUGGGUGCUGUGAAUUUCAAGCUGAUUCACCUGAGACCAAAAUUAAUGAGGUCCUGUCUACCAAAGGAAUACAGAAUCAGGAGCAUUUGGACAUUAAGGAAGAACAAGCAUCGGAAAAAGAAUUGGGGUGUAUAAUCACAGAAGGAAAUGCAAGACCCUUGGUACUGGUCGAUACACUUGGUGGUGGUGGAGCAGAUACCACUGUGGCUAUCGUGGAUGUUAACAAGGCUAAUUGUGUUGAAGGAAUACAAAAUAUGGAAGCGUGCGGCAUUGAGGAGGCAAGGCAGGACAAACAGGACAAUGGUGUUGGAGAUGGGAGGAUCUUGGAAGACAUGAGCGCCAAUGAUAGUGGUGAUGUGGGAACACGGAACCAGUGGGAUUUAUGCAUGGAGAAAGAACCGGCGGUGCUGGAGAAGCAGGACGAGGGAACAGCAGAUGAGAACACAGGGAGAAUGUUGGUUGACACAGAUGCUCCUGAAUGUGGUGAAGCGAAACCUGAUGGGACCUUGAAAAUGAAUAAUGAUGUUCUUUGUACACAAGCUGUUAAUAUGGCCGAGGAUAAAAUUUCUUUGCAAAACCAGCAGAAAUGUGUGCCAUUGGGAGACCACAAUAAAUCAGAUCCACAGGAACCGGCGGUGCUGGAGAAGCAGGAUGAGAGAACAACAGAUGAGAACACAGGGAGAAUGUUGGUUAACACAGAUGCACCUGAAUGUGGUGAAGCGAAACCUGAUGGGACAAUGCAAAUGAAUAAUGAUGCUCUUUGUACACAAGCUGUUAAUAUGGCAGAAGAUAAAGUUUCUUCCCAAAACCAGCAGAAAUGUGUGCCAUUGGGAGACCACAAUAAAUCAGAUGUUGAAGACUCUGGAUGGAAUCAAGCUGCAAGAAAAGAGUCCAAGGGGGCUCUUCAAUCAGAGUCUGAACAUGAGAUCGAAGUGAAACAAGAAAUUUUAGAGAAUGAUGAAGCGUCUGAACAAGAGCAGACCUACACAGAGAGUGCCUCAGUUGCUCCUUCAGGUAUGGAUCACCGGGGUGAGAAUAAUAACAAAGGGGCUGAAGAAUCGAUAAGAAACUAUGGGAAGCAUGUUUCUGAUACAGUAAACACAGGUUGCCAGCCCAGUAAAUUUGGCCGACCAAGUACUGAAGAGGUCAGGAGAAUACAUAGUGGCAGUAUAUCUGUCUAUCUGAAAGACAUCACAGUAUAUCAGGAAAGAAUUCGUUCUGAUCCAUCAAAGAGUACACAUGUAAACAAUGCUGGGUAUUAUUCUCGACAUGGAGCUCUGGAACCAGUUUCAGUCAGCAAGGAUAUCAAAGUUCCAUUGCAUGACAAUGGGAGGGUUUGUGGAAGAGAUGGUGCACUGGAGUUGGUGACAGGUCCACCAGAAGAGACGCCUCGAUGGAGACAAGAGCAAUAUGCACUUAAUAUUUUAGAAGAUGUGCAAAAUGCUCGCAUUGCUGAGAAAACUAGGAUGGAGAUGGAGAUCAGAAUACUGAAGGCACAGAUUGCUAGCAUGCAGAGACAAGUGAUGAACAUGGAUCAUGUUGGUGAGGUUAUUUCCAGAUCAAAAAGGCAUUGA
rnacentral:rRNA from 1 species